GCUCUCGGCCAAUGAAAAUCCCGCGUCCACCUGGUUGCGCGCGUUCUGGGAAGAGGUUCGUUGCCCUGUGGUUUCUCCUUCUGCGUCUGUUUUGUUUCUGAGCCACGGUGGCCGGCUUUGGAAGUAGUGGGGCCGGACCUGUUUCAAAGGAGCCAAGGGAAGUAUCCUGUUGGAUUUCAACGGACACUAAAGGGGCCUUGAAGGAAACAGUCCAGGAAAGGCAGAUCAACAGGCAUGUACAGUUAAAUGUUUUUCCCACAGAAUUGCAUCGCGCUGUACCACACAGAUUUUCGGAAACCUAAGACGCGGUAUUGAACUAAUUCUACAUCUAACUCCAAUUGUAAUAAAGUUAAUACAUGCA